rnacentral:rRNA from 1 species
GUACCAUAACCGACACAGGUGGGUAGGUAGAGUAUACUAAGGGGCGCGAGAUAACUCUCUCUAAGGAACUCGGCAAAAUGACUCCGUAACUUCGGGAGAAGGAGUGCCUUAUUUAUAAGGUUGCAAUAACAAGAUCCAAGCAACUGUUUAUCAAAAACACAGGUCUCCGCUAAGUCGUAAGACGAUGUAUGGGGGCUGACGCCUGCCCAGUGCCAGAAGGUUAAAGAAGUUGGUUAGUGUAUGCGAAGCUGAUGACUGAAGCCCUGGUGAACGGCGGCCGUAACUAUAACGGUCCUAAGGUAGCGAAAUUCCUUGUCGGGUAAGUUCCGACCCGCACGAAAGGCGUAAUGAUUUGGAUACUGUCUCGGAGAGAGGCUCGGUGAAAUAGACUUGUCUGUGAAGAUGCGGACUACCUGCACCAGGACAGAAAGACCCUAUGAAGCUUUACUGUAACUUGAAAUUGGAAUUGGACUUUGCUUGCGCAGUAUAGGUGGGAAGCGUUGAAGAUAUUCUUGCGGGAGUAUUGGAGCUAUCAGUGAGAUACCACUCUUGUAAUGUUAGAUUUCUAACUUUGAACCAUAAUCUGGUCAAAGAACAGUUUCAGGUGGGCAGUUUGACUGGGGCGGUCGCCUCCCAAAUGGUAACGGAGGCGUACAAAGGUUUCCUCUGAACGGAUAGAAAUCGUAUCUAGAGUGUAAAGGCAUAAGGAAGCUUGACUGUGAGACCUACAAGUCGAGCAGGGACGAAAGUCGGUCUUAGUGAUCUGACGGUACUGAGUGGAAAGGCCGUCACUCAACGGAUAAAAGUUACUCUAGGGAUAACAGGCUGAUCUCCCCCAAGAGUUCACAUCGACGGGGAGGUUUGGCACCUCGAUGUCGGCUCAUCGCAUCCUGGGGCGGUAGUACGUCCCAAGGGUUGGGCUGUUCGCCCAUGAAAGCGGUACGCGAGCUGGGUUCAGAACGUCGUGAGACAGUUCGGUCCAUAUCCGGUGUAGGCGUUAGAAUAUUGAGAGGAGCCUUCUUUAGUACGAGAGGACCGAGAAGGACACACCGCUGGUGUACCAGUUAUCGUGCCAACGGUAAACGCUGGGUAGCUAUGUGUGGAGUGGAUAACCGCUGAAAGCAUCUAAGUGGGAAGCCCACCUCAAGAUGAGUACUCCCAUGGGGUUAACCCAGUAAGGUCACGGGAAGACCACCCGUUUAUAGGUUCUAGAUGGAAGCGCAGCAAUGUGUGAAGUCGAGGGAUACUAAUAGACCGAGGGCUUGU